CCUACGGGAGGCAGCAGUGGGGAAUAUUGCGCAAUGGGCGAAAGCCUGACGCAGCGACGCCGCGUGAGGGAUGAAGGUCUUCGGAUUGUAAACCUCUUUCAGCAGGGACGAAGCGAAAGUGACGGUACCUGAAGAAGAAGCACCGGCUAACUACGUGCCAGCAGCCGCGGUAAUACGUAGGGUGCAAGCGUUGUCCGGAUUUAUUGGGCGUAAAGAGCUCGUAGGCGGUUAGACACGUCGGAUGUGAAAACUGGGGGCUUAACUCCCAGCCUGCAUUCGAUACGGUCUGACUAGAGUGUGGUAGGGGUAACUGGAAUUCCUGGUGUAGCGGUGAAAUGCGCAGAUAUCAGGAGGAACACCGAUGGCGAAGGCAGGUUACUGGGCCACCACUGACGCUGAGGAGCGAAAGCGUGGGGAGCAAACAGGAUUAGAUACCCUGGUAGUCCACGCCGUAAACGGUGGGCGCUAGAUGUGGGGACCAUUCCAUGGUUUCUGCGUCGCAGCUAACGCAUUAAGCGCCCCGCCUGGGGAGUACGGUCGCAAGACUAAAACUCAAAGGAAUUGACGG
rnacentral:rRNA from 1 species